GGAAUAUUGGACAAUGGGCGCAAGCCUGAUCCAGCCAUGCCGCGUGAGUGAUGAAGGCCCUAGGGUUGUAAAGCUCUUUCACCGGUGACGAUAAUGACGGUAGCAGGAGAAGGAGCACCGGCUAACUCCGUGCCAGCAGCCGCGGUAAGACGGAGGGUGCUAGCGUUGUUCGGAAUGACUGGGCGUAAAGGGCGCGUAGGCGGUUUUGUCAGUCAGGCGUGAAAGCCCCGGGCUUAACCUGGGAACUGCGUUUGAUACUGCAAGACUUGAGGACGGAAGAGGAAAGUGGAAUUCCUAGUGUAGAGGUGAAAUUCGUAGAUAUUAGGAGGAACACCAGAGGCGAAGGCGGCUUUCUGGUCCGUUACUGACGCUGAGGCGCGAAAGCGUGGGGAGC
rnacentral:rRNA from 1 species